CCCUUCAAUUUUCCCCCCUUUCCCUUUCUUUUUCUCUCUCUCUUUUCUCCCCUUUUUCCUCCUCACGUCACUUCCUGCCCCCCACUUUUUUCUUUUCCCCUCUCUCUCUCUCUCCUCUUUCCUCCUCUCUCAGCCGAACCCUCCCACCUCUUCUUCUUCUUCUUCUUCUUCUUCUUCUUCUUCUUCCUUCCUCUCGCCGGUUGCUGCUUCACCUGCCACCACACCGCCGCCCCCACGCCCUACUCACCACCACCUCUUGGCCACC
rnacentral:lncRNA from 1 species